AAUCAAAAUUUAAUUUUGAAUUUUACGCUAAAACGGAAUUCGGAUUUUGAAAUCACGUUCGAUUGAAAUUGGAAAACAAUCCCAACCAUUUUGGAUUCAUCAACCUAAAUCCUACUCCUAGCCCAAUUGGGCAAAGCCCAAACCAAUAAACCCAACACAAUACUCCCUUCCCCUUUUUCCUAAUUCACGUGAAACUAGAAGAAAAAAAAAAAAAAAAAAAAGAGAACCCUUUCCCCUAUUCACGUAACUGCUCCUCCUCAACAAUCCCCUCCUUGCUGCCGCCGCUCACACCGCCGGACCCUCCUGCACGUCACCGGAAUCUUGUCGACGCCGCAACCUGAUUCGCGCAGCCACCGCCAAGUCGCGCCACCGUGUGCCGCCGUGCCCAGCCCCUGCCGCGAGCCACCUCCGUCCGCCGGCUCUCUCUCUCCUCCUUCUUGAAUUGGCGGAGAAUUCUCUUUAGGCGACUUUUGAAAGUGUUAAAGUGGCCUAUCAGUUUGUUU